CCUGUGGCGAAAGCGGUUUACCNGCUUGUUAUUGACGCUGAGGCACGAAAGCGUGGGGAGCAAAUAGGAUUAGAUACCCUAGUAGUCCACGCCGUAAACGUUGAGUACUAGGUGUCGGGAAUUAAUCUCGGCGCCGCAGCUAACGCAUUAAGUACUCCGCCUGAGUAGUAUGCACGCAAGUGUGAAACUCAAAGGAAUUGACGGGGACCCGCACAAGUGGUGGAGCAUGUGGUUUAAUUCGAAGCAACACGAAGAACCUUACCAGGGCUUGACAUCCAGUGCAAAGGCAUAGAGAUAUGCUGGAGGCUAACAUUGAGACAGGUGGUGCAUGGUUGUCGUCAGUUCGUGCCGUGAGGUGUUUGGUUAAGUCCAGUAACGAACGCAACCCUUGUCAUUAGUUACUAACAUUUAGUUGAGGACUUUAAUGAGACUGCUAGUGUAAGCUAGAGGAAGGUGGGGAUGACGUCAAAUCAUCAUGCCCCUUAUGUCCUGGGCUACACACGUGCUACAAUGGCUGAUACAAAGAGUCGCAAUCUCGCAAGGAGGAGCUAAUCUCAUAAAAUCAGUCUCAGUUCGGAUUGAAGGCUGCAACUCGCCUUCAUGAAGCCGGAAUCACUAGUAAUCGCGAAUCAGCUAUGUCGCGGUGAAUACGUUCUCGGGUCUUGUACACACCGCCCGUCNCNNCANGAGAGUUGGUAACACCAGAAGCAGGUAGCU
rnacentral:rRNA from 1 species